rnacentral:rRNA from 1 species
UACGUAGGGACCAAGCGUUGUUCGGAUUUACUGGGCGUAAAGGGCGCGUAGGCGGCAAUUCAAGUCAUCUGUGAAAUCUCCGGGCUUAACUCGGAACGGUCAGAUGAUACUGCUUUGCUAGAGUGCAGAAGGGGCAAUCGGAAUUCUUGGUGUAGCGGUGAAAUGCGUAGAUAUCAAGAGGAACACCUGAGGUGAAGACGGGUUGCUGGGCUGACACUGACGCUGAUGCGCGAAAGCUAGGGGAGCGAACGGG